AUUAAAGAGAGAUUUAAGCACAUUUAAAGCAUCCUGCAAAUAAAGCGAAAAUGAGUGAAGAAGCCACCUUAGGCAGUGAGGAGAAGUGGAAGCCUGCUCUUUGACCACUGCUUUGAUCCUUUUGCAGUGUGGGACCAAGAGAAGAUUUUCAAACGAUGUUAUGAGCACAACUCACAAAAUGACUAUAAAAUAACUGAUGGGCAUGGCCAAUCGUGCAAUAGCAAUUUCUCAAGAUGUGCCAAAUGAAAAGAUAUUUGUUCAAGCACCGCAGUUCAAGCACAAUCAAAAACUGCACUGCUUUGGAAAUCUGAUGAAUAACUUUCGCUGUCUAUGUAGCAGUCCAGAGUUCAGUCUAUACCUUUGUCAGAAAAGCUCACCUUGCAAGUGCAGAACAGAAGAAGUAAUCAGUGGUUGUGACUGAAAGGAGGUGCUAAAGCUGAUGGCAAUGGCCAAACUCAAGGUUCAAACCAUUUUUUCAAGAGAGUUUAUCAGAAUGUACAGUAUUUCUUAAUCGGAUCUUCCUGAAGUUUUUGAAUCCUGGAGUGCCAACAAUUGAACAAAGCACAAUGUGAGUGUGGUAGCCACUCAUGCAGUUGUUGCAUAAGUAAUUAAAAUGACCAAGUACUUUAGCAUGUGCAUUCCUGUGUGCCUGCAAAGAAACAAUAGUGUUUAGGAUGCUAAUCUUGAAUUUCAUUACCUCCAACAAACUCAGCAUUUUGGGAUACAAUAUAUGAACUGGCACAUGCUACUUUGUUCUACACAUCAUCCAUUGACCAUGCUGGCUGAAGCUGAUGGGAGGUGCAGUCCAACAACAUCUGGAGGGCUGUAAAUUAUUUACCCCUAGACUAUGUUACCUUCGCUUGUUAAGAGCAUACAUGCAUUUCUGAAGGGCCCUGGAUGACCCAUCAUUACUUGUGCUAUUUACUCCACUGUAGAAUUCAAUGCUUUCCCAGCUGUUCUCAGAGGAGAAAAGAUGUUUGAAAUUGUUACUUUAUGGAGAUCUAUGACAUACUAUAGCAUUUAAGACAAGGCUGGUAAGGAUUUACACAAAACCUUGAAUUUCAAGGCUGUCACGAGGAAAGAAGUCAUAUUUACACACAUUUAUCUUAAAUAGAUAUCAUGUUGGUGGGGAACAUGUGGUUCAGAUGUGAUAUGUGUCCCUUAACCUGAUUUUAUUAAAACUUACCCAACGCUCCUGUUCCUUUUCUUCAGUUACUGGGUUCUUUCCACCACAUUAUUCUGUUAAUUUCUUCUGUGAUCUAACUGCAAAUGCAC